rnacentral:rRNA from 1 species
CGGCCGCGUCGACAUCCGAACUGAGAACUAGUUUAUGGGAUUCGCUUGGCCUCGCGCGUGGCAUUAGUACCGCGUGAUAGCCGGAGGAGUGGGAUGACGUCAAGUCCUCAUGGCCCUUACGCGCUGGGCUACACACGUGCUACAAUGGCGGUGACAGUGGGCAGCAAGCACGCGAGUGUGAGCUAAUCUCCAAAAGCCGUCUCAGUUCGGAUUGUUCUCUGCAAC